rnacentral:lncRNA from 1 species
GGCAGCAUGAUGGCAGUGGGGAGGGACUCACCCCAACAGUUAUAGAGACUCGGGGCCCAAAGCACCAAGCCUGUUUCCCUGGCUGACCUGCUGCCCAGACCCAGGGCCUGGGACGAAGCCCCUCCCGCCCUCCUGCGGUGCCCGCCAGCACCAGGCCCCAGGGUCUGCGCUCCCUGCCAGGACCUGGGCACGUGGAGGAAGCUCAGUGUGUGGCCCCUGCCAGGAGGACCGGGGAUUAGGAAACCAGAGCCAGCUGGGCGAGGCCAGAGGAGAUCAUUGUUCACUUCCUGGUGUGGGCCUCCGCACACUGGCACUGAGCCCUGGGGAAACCCAAGGACGGCCCCAACUGCAGUCCCCUGACCCUGACAUGCCCCAGGCGGGCCUCAGGACAGAGAUUUUCCAGGCCAGGCUCCCCCUGCCCUGGGGGGAUUGGAGGAAUCCUAGCGGAGCACAAGCUGCCCAGCACAGCCCCUCCAGCCCUGAAGCCUGAGGCCAGCAUCUCAGGACACAAGAGGCCAGGCUGGCCCACACCCAUUCUGCAGGCCAGAGCCAUCCUGCCACAGCCAACCCUGCCAGCACCAGGCUGCCCAGCCCCCAGCCAACUGGGCUUAACCAGGGUGGUGGGGGCUGGCACCCAACCCCAGCGCCACAGCUCUGGCCCUGCCUUGGUGGGCAGAUGGAGAGCACACCCAGAGAAGCCGUGGUUCUCAGCCCUCUGGACACCAAGGAGGACCCCAGCUCCAACCCCAGCCCCACACAGGGACACAGUGGCAAGGCCCAGACCUACACCCUGGCAGGUAAAUACCUAGGAGUGGAGUAUCUGGAUCAGACAGAAAUAUGGACACUUUAUUUAUGUGAAAGAGUCAGGAGAAGAACUGGCCACAGUGGGCCAUUCAAGUUAUUUCUGCCCAAGUGAUCUUCGAUUCAUCCUGUGUCCAAGGAGUUUGUCCUUUUCAUCCGGGCUGCCAAAUGUUUCGACUUGAAGUAGUUCAUGAUGUCCCCCUAUUAUCUUUGUAAUAUGUGUAGAAUCCACAGUGGCGUCACCUGUCUUGUUCCUAACAUUGGAGUGGAACGUGGUGGAUUUUCCCUACAUGCGGCUUUGGCUAAACCGCACGUUCCCCUCCCUCCUGAGGGUCUGUCUCCUCAUCCACCCGCUAGUGCAUCUCCAGCUUCUGUACCUCAGACUCACCUUGAAAGUCCACUUGACAUCCAUCACUGUGCAGUCAGUCAGGAAAAGGAAGCCACACUCGUUAUUUCAAACAGAAGGAAGUUAAUACAGAGAACUGGUUACACAGGUGCUGGAGGCUGGAAGAGAAGACGGGCACCGAGGCACCUGACGUUGUGAACAGCAGGAAGCAGCUUCCACUCCCAGGGCUGGGGGAACAAAUGAAAGAGGUUGGGCUGCCAGAACCCAGGAGCACAGAGAAAGGAUGGAGUGGCAGAGCCAGUAUUGGGAGUGCCAAAAGAAGUGGUGGGCUGGAGUAGCCACCCCCCUCUAUGGCUGGAGGGCCCUGAAAGAAGCUGGUGAAGGAACAGAAAUCUCCUCUCCUCACCUCCCACCAGUGCCUUCCAGGAAGACAUCUGGUCAAAGAGCCUGAAAAUACAGUGUGCACAAUCCCAGCCGCAUGUAUCAGUCAGCUAUUGCUGCAUAACAAAGCACCCAAAAACCAAGGGCUUACAACAAUGUGUUUCAUGGAUGAUAGACGGAUAGAGAGAUAGAAGAGAUAGGUAGAAAUGUGUGUGCGCACGUGUGUGUGUGUGUGUGUGUGUGUGUGAAUGUGUGUGUGUAUGGAUUAGGGUAUAUACAGAUGCUUUCUAGUAUUCUCCCCUGAGAAGGUCUACCAAAAAAAAAUGACACCCCAGUAGUAACUACCACACCCAAUGUCCAGAUCUUGGUUUCUAAAUACCAUUUUCCAAUUAAAAGAAUCAGGACUCCUUAGAGAAGUAGCUGGGUCUCUGGGGAAGGAAAUUACAAGAUAAACCUGGAGCAUUUUAUGGUGCCAGAAAGUGAGGAAGGGCUCAAAAACAGAUAGGGUGAAAGCACACAGGAGCCACUGUGAAGGGGCUGCCAUGGCCAACACUGGAACAAUUUGAGAAACAAAAUAAAGAUAAUGUUGGAUUAUAACCCAAAUAAUAAAAUAAGUAUCUACAAACCCAUAGUGAAGUAAAUAACUGCACAAACAAAUAAGAAGAAACAGCUUAUUUUAAUAGAAUUCCAGUUACUUAAUGCAGAAGAAAUGAAGUAAAUAGAAAAUCACCAUCAGAGGCCACAGGAUUAACAGCUGUCUACAGAGGUAUGCUAAAGUCAAUAGGCUGAGGUUAGAAGAGAAACAAGUUAUUUACAUGAAUUCAAAGUAUCUUCCCUAAGAUAUUUAUUAAUUACAAAGUCGCAAAAUAGUAACUUUGCAGUGCAGAGACCUGGCAGACGCCACCUGAACCAAGGGUUCAAGGUUAACAUCCCCAGCAAUGGGACAGGCAGCGUCAUACACUCUGAUAAGCUACAUAAGAGCACGUGGCCGGGCCCACUGGCUCACACCUAUAAUCCCAGCAUUUGGAGAGGCCACAUUGGGAAAACCGCUUGAGGCCAGGAGUUCGAGACCAGCCUGGGCAAUCUAGGGAGACCUUGUCUCUGCAGAAAUGUUAAAAAAUUAGCUGGGCACAGCAGUGCAUAGACUCUGGGGUUCCCAGGGACCUCAAACUCCACCCUAGUGGGGCUGGACCUGGGGUGUGGCCUGUGCCGGAUGUCCUCGCUGGCUGACAUUUGCUUUCUUUAUUACUCCCUUCCUUUAUUGCACCGUUUAAUUGUAUUAAAUGGUGCCCAAGGCAUAAGGUGCAGGAUUUUAUGGCCUCGGGGUGACCCUGCAGUGAGGCCUGGCCCUUUCCUUCUUUACUUUGUGAGCCCGGGGCUGCCCUGCCCUCAACGGUGACGCUAUGGGAGCCCUUGACUCAUGUGCCAGGAAUUGGGAGGGACGCCAAAGGCAGUGCUGUUUUCCAUACAGAGCUGUGGCACUCGUUACAGAAAUCAGAAAACACAAAACUGUCCGUGGGUGGAAGAAAAAUGUCCCCCUCCCCCUCCCCCGAGAAGCCUCUUAAUCCUUCAAAAUCUUUCCCACCUUCUGUGCAGGUCUGGGAGAUUCCUGACAUUGUCCUGGGCAUUCCUGGGGACAAUUAUGUAGCCGGAGUCUUUUCAUUAAAUGACAUUUGACGUCUCUGAACUUAAAGCAAUACACGUGCACCGAGGGCAUGUCCAGAUGCAGAGACGUGUUCGAAAGCUCUAGCGCGUCCCCAUGUCAGCGGCCUGGGGUCCCCAGGUGGCAGUAUCGUUUCAGGUGGGGAGGGGUCCCGGCUGCUGGGUGCCGUGGCCUGGCCUGGGCAGGCACAGUUGCUCAUCUGCGAUGGGUUCUGGAUAGCAGCACCCUUGCUGGUUAUGGGGGUGAACAGUGUUCGUGAAUCUCUGCCCGCAUGGGCACCCACGGGUGCUCCUAAGUUCUCCUGGUUAUUACCACAGAUUGUUUUACAGCCUCUUUUCCCCCACAAUAUAUCGGGGAAGUUAAAUAUUUGCUGAGAACAUGAUUAUUGAUUGAUUGAUUGAUUUUGAGGCAGGGUCUCGCUCUGUUGCCCAGGCAGGAGUGCAGUGAUGCAAUCUUGGCUCACUGUAGCCUUGAACACCUGGGCUUAAGCCAUCCUCCUGCCUCAGCCUCCUGAGUAGCUGGGACCACAGGUGUGCACCACCAAGCCCAGCUAAUUUUUUAGUUUUUAGAGAUGGGGUUCUCACGAUAUUGCCCAGACUGGUCUUGAACUCCUGGUCUCAGGUGACACCCCGACCUUGGCCUCCCGCAGAUCCAGUACCAUCUUCCCAGGCUUUCUGUUUUCCUCCUAGGAGAGCUGUGGCUAAGGGGUCAGCCCAGCUUGACUGUCGUUCUGCCUCUGCUACUCAUGAUGGCGCCCGCAUCCCCCUUGCCUCUGACGGCUGAGAGCCACCUCCUGGCAGUCCCAGGUCCCCCUCGCCUCUGACGGCUGAGAGCCACCUCCUGGCAGUCCCAGGUCCCCCUCGCCUCUGACGGCUGAAAGCCACCGCUCGGCUGUCCCGGGUCGAUUCUUCCCAUUGCGACUCUUUUCCAGCUGAGUGGCUGUGGCUCCCACUGUGAGGUCUGUGGCCCUCAGAGAAGAGCAGCCCAGGGAUCUGUCCCUAUUUCUACCCCACUCACUAAUCUAGUUCCCAGUGUGGGGAAAGGUCUGUCUUCUGGACCUUCUGGUGGGUGAGGAGGUCUUAAGUGACAAACCUACCCUAGCCUUCCAAUCUCCCUAGGCCUUUGCAUCCCUUCCUCCACAGUAAACCAAGCCAGGUCUGGCCUUUCCAGUUUAAUGUGACCCCUUUUCUGUCUAUGUUGCACCCAACGAAGCAGCCAGCGGUUAGCGCCCUGCUAACUCCCUGAACCACACCUCGAAAGGCAGACUGUCUGCUUGGUGGGCACCUGCAGCACGUUCAGCGUGACCCCUUCAUGGUCCUCCCACACCCCUGGACCGCAUUUCUGUCUGUGCGGGACGGACACGCCACACCGCUCUUGCCAUGGAGGUCACCUCCGUGGUUUGCACUCAGCCUCUGGCUCUGGGGCUUGCUGGACUCGAGUCAGCACCUGGGACCCCGUCAGUGAGGAUCAAACCCUUGUUCUUACGCACGCGUUUUUAGGGAG